GACGGGGGAUGCAAGCGUUAUCCGGAAUCACUGGGCGUAAAGCGUCUGUAGGUGGUGAUGCAAGUCACUGGUGCAAAACUCUGGCUCAACCGGAGGAAAGCCAGUGAAACUGCAUGACUAGAGUGUGGGAGGGGUAGAAGGAAUUCCCUGAGUAGCGGUGAAAUGCGUAGAUACAGGGAAGAACACCGGAGGCGAAAGCGUUCUACUGGAACACAACUGACACUGAGACACGCAAGCUAGGGGAGCGAAUGGG
rnacentral:rRNA from 1 species